rnacentral:lncRNA from 1 species
AAGGCAAGUGUAAUACAGCAGUAAGUAUGCCAGGCUAAAUACCAGAAGGCAAGGGAUCCUGGCUGGCCUUGGAAGCUAAGUAAUGCCAGUCCUGCCUAGUAUUUGGAUGAGAAAUCACCAGGAAAUUGCUGAGUAUCCCUUGCCUAAGAAAACCUAUGGAAUUCAUGGGGUUACUAUAAAUUGAUGAGUGACUUGGAAGGCACAAAUACACACCAUACUGAGGUCUUUGGAGAGUCAUAUCCAACCCACAGUUGGCCAUGAAGCUCACUGGAUGACCUUGCCAUUAGUCUUCAGCCUCACAAAGCUGUUAUGGAAAUAAACCCGGGUAAAAGAUGUAUACACUAUACAGUCUUUUUCCAUUAUUUUCUUUUUCUAUUUAAUUGAAAAAAAAUAUUCAACACAAUACAGUUGUAUUGUCACAUUAGCUGUUUUGAAGUAAAGAUGUCAUAAAGAAAAGAAAAUAAAGUUUUCCUCUGGGGUUUCUGGGGGUACAUUUGUCAAGCUAUAGGGGGUAAAGGUACCCUUUUAACUUCUGGUAUUUAUAUGUUUGUUCGUUAGUUAUAAUUAUUAGUUAGUUAGUUAAUUAUAACCCACCAUUCCUCAAAUGAACUUCAGGAAGCAUUCAUGUCCUCUCCUAUCACCUUACAUUCACAGAUCUAUGCAGAAGACCUGGCCAACUGAAACAGGGUGAAUGGCUCAAGAUCAUACAAAGCUCUCAGGAGAAGGAGGAUGGAGAUGAAUGCUCAUGGAAAGCUCUAGACAUUCUUACAGAAGCCGGGCAAGAUACCAGACCAAUCUACAUCUCCAUUGACAUCAUGCCAUUUCUCCUCCAGUAUAAAGGCAAGACUCAAGAGUAAGGAUGUCAAUGUUGACUGUAUCUUUCUUUGUGUAGUAAGUGGGGCAUUGGCAAUACAAAUAAAAUUCAGUAUACACUAUGAUGUACUGAGAGUUUUUUCCCCAAAUAGAUUUUAGACAUAUUUAAAUAAUUUUCUUGCAUUUCUUUAGACUGUGCGAAAUAGAAAAAAAAUCACUAUUGUCUUGUUGCAUAGACUAGUAAAUGUGACAGAAUUUGAUGAGUUGUUUGUGUUUUUGUGAGAAAAAGUAUUUUGUAGCCACUUUUGAAACUGCAAGAAAGAUGUUUGUAGCAGAAGCUUUCAUAGACUGAGGGUGCAUCUACUUUGUAGAAUUAAUACAGCCCGAUACCAUUUUAACUGUCAUGCCUCGCUGCUAUAUGGUAUCAGAGGAGUUGUAGUUUUACAAGGCCUUACCCUUUUCUGCCAAAGAGUGCUGGCACCUUAUCAAACUUCAGAUUCCAGAAUUCCAUAGCAUUUAGCAUGGCAGUUAAAGUUGUGUCAAAGUACAUUAAUUCUACAGUGU